rnacentral:rRNA from 1 species
AUUGAACGCUGGCGGAAUGCUUUACACAUGCAAGUCGAACGGCAGCACGGACUUCGGUCUGGUGGCGAGUGGCGAACGGGUGAGUAACAUAUCGGAACGUAUCCAAUAAUGGGGGAUAACUAAUCGAAAGGUUGGCUAAUACCGCAUACGCCCUGAGGGGGAAAGCUAGGGAUCUUCGGACCUGGCGUUAAUGGAGCGGCCGAUAUCUGAUUAGCUAGUUGGUGGGGUAAAGGCCCACCAAGGCGACGAUCAGUAGCUGGUCUGAGAGGACGACCAGCCACACUGGAACUGAGACACGGUCCAGACUCCUACGGGAGGCAG